GAGUAAGCGAUGACGGGAACAAGUAGUGGUUCUAUCCCUGUUUCAGAAAGCCGGCGGUUGCUGCAAGCCGGUACAUAUAGAAUCAUGAAUUACCUCCUCGAGCAUUUGCUGUGAAGGAUGCUAGUAGCAGUAAACGGCUAAGCCGUUAUCUUUAAUGAGUGGAGGACAAAAUAUGUCCUCAAUAUGGGUGGUACCGCGCGUCUUGCGUCCCUGCA
rnacentral:ncRNA from 1 species